rnacentral:rRNA from 1 species
GACAGAGGGUGCAAACGUUGCUCGGAAUCACUGGGCGUAAAGGGCGUGUAGGCGGGUAGAUAAGUCGGGCGUGAAAUCCCUAGGCUCAACCUAGGAACUGCACUCGAAACUGUUUAUCUUGAGUGCCGGAGAGGAAAGCGGAAUUCCUGGUGUAGAGGUGAAAUUCGUAGAUAUCAGGAGGAACACCAGUGGCGGAAGGCG